AUCUUCCAGCUUUCUCUGGUCUGAUAUCACUUAAAUAAGAGGAUGUCAGUUCCUGUGAAGGUAUGUCUUUUGCUUUUGGUAGUUGCAGCAUACUACGUGUCUGCAGAACCAGAACCAGAACCGGAACCACACCAUCACCAUGGG